ACCAUUUUCCAUUUAUGGAAUUUCAUCUCUCUCCUCUCGAUUUCAAUUUUCAGAGCUGCAUCUUGUCUCCCAAACUCUCUCUUUCUCUCGAUGGUUUUGCCACCAACACUUGACUCACUAGCUCUCUCUCCUCUCCUUUCACUCGCUUCUCUCUCUCUUGACUCUCCUUUUAGCCAUAUGGUUUUACUUUUUGCAGGUUCUAUCAUGCCUUCCAAAUUGUUCUACCAAUUUACAAGUAAGUACCAAUCGAUCGGAUAUCCGUCGGCGUCUCCCCAAUUUUCCACGUCCACCUCCACCCUUCGUCAUCCCCCUCCCAUACUAUUUCCCACCCACCAACAACACCUCAUCCUGUCUGGUGCCCCGUCCCACUCCACUGGUACCAAAUUCAUGAAAAUCGAGCUUUCAUGGUUCUCCAGUGAUGACCCAUUCAACUGGUUAGCUUUGGCGGAAGAGUAUUUGGACUACCAUGGUGUCAACCCCCCAACAGGGUCACGGUGGUGGGCCUCCAUUUCACUUGUGAUCCGGCUUUGUGGUUCAAAUGGUACAAAUUGCAUAUUGGAUCCGUUUUAUGGGCCACCUUGACCGAAUGUCUCGUACAACGUUUUGGGCCAGAGCCUAAGGUUAGACCAAGGCACAACAUUUAGGGGUGUGGGCUUAAGAUGGACCUCCAGAAUGAUGUAUUAGCUCAAGCCCCUCAUUCUUUGGCCCACGCCAUCGAACUCGCCCGUAUCUAUGACAAUAAGCAACAACGAUGUCAUAGCACCUUCCGCCAAUACUCUCCUUGCCCUUCUUCGACAUCUCUGACAGUGUCCUCGACGACAUCUGCUCCACCCACAAGACCACUUCCCUCAUCGCCAACUCGGCCACCGCUGCACUUAUCUCCUGCAGAAGUCUGUGAGGGUAAUUUUCGGGGCCAAUGUUUAUAUUGUCCAGAGAAAUACUUUCCUAGCCAUAUGAUAAGUCGAUAUUAUACUUCAUAUUUUUGCCUUAUCUUAGUAUUAAUUUAUUAGUUAUUUUGGUAGAAUUUUGAUAUUUUGUUAUAUAUUUUCAAUGUAGCACAUUCGACUUCCUCUGAAGAAAAAAAGUUAUCAAACGGAUGAAUUUUGGAGUAAUUCCAAUGGAGGAUGUUCGUGAGCCUUUCAAGAUGAUUUUAUCAAAAUGUUAGAUUUUUCUACCAAGUCGUUUGACCGUGGCGAAGAAAUAAAGGCCCAGCAAGCAGCUUUCCCAAAUUGACGUUUCUGGACGCUUUGCGUAUUUUGAAGGUCAAGAUGGCAUAUUUUAAGGAAGAUUCAUCUAAGGAUUUGUUAAGGACAUCUCAAGCUUUAAAAAGAGACCUUUUGGGACCAAAUCAGAGUUGAUUUGGUUGGUCAUAAGUCUGAUUUUCUAAGAAGUUCGAAUUUCAAUUCAAAUAGAAAACCUUUUAUUUUCUAAUUAUCUUAUUCUAUUAUGUUUCCUAGUUUUUAGAAGACUUUUUCUAGGUAGGAUUUUAUUUUGUGGUAGUAUAAAUAAGGCUAUUUAGCCAUUAGAAAAGGAGAGAGAACAAAGGCAUCAAUUUGGAAGAACUUAGCUAGGCUUUGACGUUUUGUAUUUCAAGGUGUUUUCUAUCUUUUUUUUUAUUUCAAUAAAAUUCCUUUUGUUUUA